AGGACGAACGCUGGCGGCGUGCUUAACACAUGCAAGUCGAGCGGUAAGGCCUUUCGGGGUACACGAGCGGCGAACGGGUGAGUAACACGUGGGUGAUCUACCCUGCACUUCGGGAUAAGCCUGGGAAACUGGGUCUAAUACCGGAUAUGACCUCCUAUCGCAUGGUGGGUGGUGGAAAAGAUUUAUCGGUGCAGGAUGGGCCCGCGGCCUAUCAGCUUGUUGGUGGGUAAUGGCCUACCAAGGCGACGACGGGUAGCCGACCUGAGAGGGUGACCGGCCACACUGGGACUGAGACACGGCCCAGACUCCUACGGGAGGCAG
rnacentral:rRNA from 1 species